UACGGGGGGGGCAAGCGUUGUUCGGAAUUACUGGGCGUAAAGGGCUCGUAGGCGGCCAACUAAGUCAGACGUGAAAUCCCUCGGCUUAACCGGGGAACUGCGUCUGAUACUGGAUGGCUUGAGAUUGGGAGAGGGAUGCGGAAUUCCAGGUGUAGCGGUGAGAUGCGUAGAUAUCCGGAGGAACACCGGUGGCGAAGGCGGCUUCCCGGACCGACACUGACGCUGAGGCGCGAAAGCUAGGGGAGCAAACGGG
rnacentral:rRNA from 1 species